rnacentral:rRNA from 1 species
UACGUAGGGGGCAAGCGUUAUCCGGAUUUACUGGGUGUAAAGGGAGCGUAGACGGCGUGCCAAGUCUGGAGUGAAAGCCCGGGGCUUAACCCCGGGACUGCUUUGGAAACUGGCGUGCUAGAGUGCUGGAGAGGUAAGUGGAAUUCCUAGUGUAGCGGUGAAAUGCGUAGAUAUUAGGAGGAACACCAGUGGCGAAGGCGGCUUACUGGACUGUAACUGACGUUGAGGCUCGAAAGCGUGGGGAGCAA